rnacentral:rRNA from 1 species
GACGAACGCUGGCGGCGUGCCUAAUACAUGCAAGUAGAACGCAGUUGCGAACGGGUGAGUAACGCGUAGGUAACUGCCUGGUAGCGGGGGAUAACUAUUGGAAACGAUAGCUAAUACCGCAUACUAACAGAUGGACCUGGGUUGGAUUAGCUAGUUGGUGAGGUAACGGCUCUCCAAGGCCACGAUGCAUAGCCGGCCUGAGAGGGUGACCGGCCACACUGGGACUGAGACACGGCCCAGACUCCGACGGGAGGCAGCAGUGGGGAAUCUUCGGCAAUGGACGAAAGUCUGACCCAGCAACCCCGCGUGAGUGAAGAAGGUUUUCGGAUCGUAAAGCUCUGUUGUUAGAGAAGCGGUAUCUACCCAAAAAGCAACGGCUAACUACGUGCCAGCCGCCGCGGUAAUAC